GUUUCCGUGCCAGCGCUUGUUAAAACAAGUUAUUUUACGGAAUAACCCAAUUUUGCCCGAACGAUCAUCCACGCAGCAAUGGCGUAAGACGUAUUGAUCUUUCAGGCAGUUAGCGGGCUGCGGGUUGCAGUCCUUACCGGUAGACUGGAUCUUCUCUGGAGAGUAAUACCCAGGCAGUUCCCCUGAUAAUUGCGCUGUGUUUCCGUAUGAAAUACAGGCAACCGACACUCUGCGCCUCUUUGAGCUGACGAUAACCGUGAGGUUGGCGACGCGACUAGACACGAGGCCAUCGGUUCAUACCCGGAAAGGCGAUACUCUGCCCGCAGCUUAGUCGUCAA
rnacentral:ncRNA from 1 species